UUUUUUUUUUUUUUUUUUUUUUUUUUUUUUUUUUCAAAGGUUAAGGACAACUUUAUUGCUACCAGAGGCUUUUAUCAUCAGUACACGGUUCUGACUGUAAUACCUUCCUCAGACUGCAUAAGGAGCCCAGGAUCCAGAAAUUAGGAGAAAUACAGGUAGGGUAAUUUUCAUCAAGAAAAUACUAAUAGCUUAACAUAAAUCUAGGGUACUGAAUUCAGUUAUUACAUGUUACAGACCCAAAUCAUAGAGCUGUCCCAAUAUCUAGAGAGUCUCUCCUACUGAUUAGAAAUGAGUGAAAACUGACCAGUUACCAAAAACAAAAGAAACCAAAACCUUAAUCAUUUGAUAUUUCUUUGGUGAGCACCUGGAUAUAUUAACUUAUCACAAAUUCUUUUAUACAAAUGUCAAUAUGCUUUCAACAAAUCUAACAGUGCCCUAAUUAUAAUUACAUGCCACUUUUAAGUUCUAAAUUAAGAUAAAAAUGAAAACAAUAAUUUUGUUUCUGAACUCCAGGAACUGAAAUGAGACAAACACAAAAUCAAUGUGGUAAUGCUAGUCCUUUUUCUAUUACCACCUCUCAUUCACAUGGGGCAAUUUUGAAGAACCCUUUUUGGAUCAAUCUGAAUCGUGGAUUAAACAUGGCUGCCAGACUGAAAUAAUUUAUUCACUAAAUUGCUAAAAAAGUAAUUUUGAGGGUUUCCUAAUCAGUGGAAGUCAGGCUAUACAGAUCAACAUGCAUAAAGUUCAUUAAGUAGUCAAUAAAGCAGCAAACAAAAACGAGGAAAAUUAAAUCAGGAUGCUGGAGACAGGGUGUGUGCCAGCUAUGAAUUUUGGAACUUUAAAAAAAAAAAAAACACUGAAUAUGAAUUUUUUAUAUGGGUACAAUCUCCAUUACAUUUUAGUAGAGAAAGGAUGGAACUGACAAACACUACAAAAAAAUUUUUACUUGGAAAAAAAAAAAAUUGGAUCUUCUGAAUUUUAUUUAUUUAUUUAUUUUUUUGGUCUUUAUUAUGCUUAAAUAAUGUUGAUUAUAAUUUACCACAAAAGUAAAUUUUUUUUUUUUUUUUCCUGGCUCACUUCAAAUCAGCCUGAUAAGGUAUAUACCUUUAUAUAGCCUUUCCAUGGUUCUCCAUGUUCCCACUCUCAGAGUAGUCUACCUUAGUUUGCACUUAAAGGUAACACUUGAGGCUACAUGACAGAAACUGGCUGCAAAGGUGGACAAGGGGAAGCAUGUCCCUCUUGCCUUGAUAAAUCAGUGCCACAUACUGAACCCACAUUUUCUGAAGCAUUAUCUUCAUUAUAGAGCCGUUUGAUUCCAUCAUAGAAGUCAUCCACUUCCAUUUCCUCUACUUUGCGUUUAGCAGAGGUAUGCUUGCACCCACUGGCAGCUGGGAGAUGAUGGUAGAAGGCUGCUGCACCUCUGACUGGCACUUCUGGUUUGCUGUUGUCCUUGGAGAAAUCUAAAUCUGGGCCUGGGACAGAGGAGGGAUGUAAUCUGAACACUCCUUUGUCACAGGUCACCAGGGUGUGCUUGAGGGGACGGUAGACAUAAACGGAAUUUAGAGGCAGGGAAGACUGCAGAGAAGAAAGGUGAUGUGCCACGAGCUCCCGACAGUGGAUCAGCUGGGAGCUAUCCAUCUGUGCUUUCUGAAGCAGUUCAAUUGUAAGAGGAAGCCAGUCAGGAAUAAGUUUCUCCAUUUCCAAACUAACAAUGGCCAGAGCAAGCAUGGAUCCUUUGAAUUGUAGAAGUUGGUUACAGGCCAUACAGUGAAGGAGUUGCUUGGUAAGAACUGCCAAAUGCUGAGAUGGGCUCAGUUUGGGUAAACUGAAAAGUAACUGAGGCCUAGUUGACACUGCAAUGGCAUGAAAAUGUGAAGAAAAUCCAAUGGUGUAGCUGUGUGAAGAUCCCAAUUCAACUUAUCCAGAAUAAUUCUCUCCAUCCUUAGAAUUUCAGAUGAAGAACAUCCACAGAAACUGUCUCUUGCCAACACCUUCAGUACUGGAAUUCUCUCAUCCUCCUCAACAGUCUUGGCAGCUAGGAAAAAACAGCUGAUCGCAAUACAACUCAGGUAUUUUGGGUGGGCCUUUACAGUGGCUAAAAACCUGUCCAAAAGACUGCUAGCCAGAGCAAAUGUUUCUGGGUAAAGGUUGAAUUGGUACUUGAGCUUGGCCAGCCACUGAAUCACUUCAUCUCUCUGGGAUGGAGAAACAUUCUGAUUUGUAGGCAUUUUUGGCACAUUCACCUUCCACAUCUGGGCUUCCCUAGAGAUUGCCUUUUCCAAGAGGAAAGACAAUCUCUGGUUUUCCAAAGGCCCUGGAAACUUCAUGAUAUCCUUUGGAUCUGCCUGCCUCCCAGCCUGAUGUAGCUACCUUCUCCUCCUCUUCCUCCUCUUCCUCCUCCUCCUCCUCCCCGGCGGAGCUGUAGGCCUCACAGUGGAGACGCGGGGUCAUCCGCGGGCCCGUUACCACCUCAUUUUCCUCAGCGCGCGGCGGCCGGGCGCGCGGGACGCGGGCGGGACCGACUGAGGAGGGAGAAGAGGGGGAAGCGGGCGCGGGCCCGGGCCGGGGAGCGGGGAGCGGGCGGUCGAGCGGGACGCAGGGCUGCGGCCGGCGGGUCAGCGCACCAGCUCCAUGACUGCCCCCGACCUGAGGCCGUCGCGGCCGCCGCGGGUCCCCCGCCUCCAACCGCCGCCGCUAAUGCCCGGGUGGGGACGGGGGUUCCCUCUCGCCAUAGGGCGGCGGGGGCCGGGGAGAGGCGGGGGGUGAGGCCGGCUCUGCCCCUGCCCGGGAGAAGCGUCUCUGAGGGGAAAUGGUGAGAAGGGGGGAAGGGAGGGAAAAGGAAAAAAAAGGGGGAAAGGGGGGAAAAUAAGAAAAAGCGAGACAGAGACGCUGCCGCGUCCGCUCGCGGGGAAGGCGGGGGGGG
rnacentral:lncRNA from 1 species